rnacentral:rRNA from 1 species
CCUACGGGUGGCAGCAGUGGGGAAUAUUGCACAAUGGGCGAAAGCCUGAUGCAGCAACGCCGCGUGAGCGAUGAAGGCCUUCGGGUCGUAAAGCUCUGUCCGCAAGGAAGAGAAUGACGGUACUUGAGGAGGAAGCCCCGGCUAACUACGGGCCAGCAGCCGCGGUAAUACGUAGGGGGCUAGCGUUAUCCGGAAUUACUGGGCGUAAAGGGUGCGUAGGUGGUUUCUUAAGUCAGUGGUGAAAGGCUACGGCUCAACCGUAGGAAGCCUUUGAAACUGGGGAACUUGAGUGCAGGAGAGGCGAGUGGAAUUCCUAGUGUAGCGGUGAAAUGCGUAGAUAUUAGGAGGACCACCAGUGGCGAAGGCGGCUUACUGGACUGUACCUGACGUUGCGGCUCGAAAGCGUGGGGAGCAAACAGGAUUAGAUACCCUGGUAGUC